rnacentral:rRNA from 1 species
CAAUAGGUAUGCUUAGGGAGGAGCUUGGGUCCCAUUAGUUAGUUGGUGGGGUAAAAGCCUACCAAGACUAUGAUUGGUAGCCCGGCUGAGAGGGUGAACGGCCACAUUGGGACUGAGCCACGGCCCAAAUUCCUACGGGAGGCAGCAGUAGGGAAUUUUCGGCAAUGGAGGAAACUUUGACCGAGCAACGCCGCGUGAACGAUGAAGUAUUUCGGUAUGUAAAGUUCUUUUAUUAGGGAAGAAUAAAUGAUGGAAAAAUCAUUCUGACUGUACCUAAUGAAUAAGCCCCGGCUAACUAUGUGCCAGCAGCCGCGGUAAUACAUAGGGGGCAAGCGUUAUCCGGAAUUAUUGGGCGUAAAGGGUGCGUAGGCGGUUAAAUAAGUUUAUGGUCUAAGUGCAAUGCUCAACAUUGUGAUGCUAUAAAAACUGUUUAGCUAGAGUAAGAUAGAGGCAAGUGGAAUUCCAUGUGUAGUGGUAAAAUGCGUAAAUAUAUGGAGGAACACCAGUAGCGAAGCGGCUUGCUGGGUCUUUACUGACGCUGAGGCACGAAAGCGUGGGGAGCAAACAGGAUUAGAUACCCUGGUAGUCCACGCCGUAAACGAUGAGUACUAAACGUUGGGUAAAACCAGUGUUGAAGUUAACACAUUAAGUACUCCACCUGAGUAGUACGUACGCAAGUAUGAAACUUAAAGGAAUUGACGGGACUCCGCACAAGCGGUGGAUCAUGUUGUUUAAUUCGAAGGUACCCGAAAAACCUCACCAGGUCUUGACAUGCUUCUGCAAAGUUGUAGAAAUACAGUGGAGGUUAUCAGUUGCAUAGGUGGUGCAUGGUUGUCGUCAGCUCGUGUCGUGAGAUGUUGGGUUAAGUCCCGCAACGAGCGCAACCCUUAUUGUUAGUUACCAGCACGUAAUGGUGGGGACUUUAGCAAGACUGCCAGUGAUAAAUUGGAGGAAGGUGGGGACGACGUCAAAUCAUCAUGCCCCUUAUGACCUGGGCUACAAACGUGAUACAAUGGCUGUUACAAAGGGUAGCUGAAACGCAAGUUUUUGGCGAAUCUCAAAAAAACAGUCUCAGUUCGGAUUGAAGUCUGCAACUCGACUUCACGAAGUUGGAAUCGCUAGUAAUCGCGAAUCAGCAU